UACACGACAUACAGUUAUGUC
rnacentral:piRNA from 1 species